AUAUGAGCCCCUGGGCAACCGUCCCACCCGUGUGUUAUUGCUACCUUUGAUUGCUUUCGUGCGCCCGCCUCACGGACGCACGGGGGGCUUCUGCCCCCGGGUCCGCUGCGCACCGAGAGACACUAUUGAAUCUGUCUGAAGAUUGCAGUCUGAGCAUAAACUAAAUAAGUUAAAACUUUCAACAACGGAUCUCUUGGUUCCGGCAUCGAUGAAGAACGCAGCGAAAUGCGAUAACUAAUGUGAAUUGCAGAAUUCAGUGAAUCAUCGAGUCUUUGAACGCACAUUGCGCCCCCUGGUAUUCCGGGGGGCAUGCCUGUCCGAGCGUCAUUGCUGCCCUCAAGCACGGCUUGUGUGUUGGGCUCCGUCCCCCCGGGGACGGGUCCGAAAGGCAGCGGCGGCACCGAGUCCGGUCCUCGAGCGUAUGGGGCUUUGUCACCCGCUCUGUAGGCCCGGCCGGCGCCAGCCGACAACCAAUCAUCCUUUUUUACAGGUUGAUCCUCGGAUCAGGUAGGCC
rnacentral:rRNA from 1 species